rnacentral:rRNA from 1 species
AGAGUUUGAUCAUGGCUCAGGAUAAACGCUGGCGGCGCACAUAAGACAUGCAAGUCGAACGGACUUAAUACCUUGCUUGCAAGGUAAGCGGUUAGUGGCGGACUGGUGAGUAACACGUAAGAAAUCUGCCUAUCAGAGGGGAAUAACAGUGAGAAAUCAUUGCUAAUACCGCAUAUGCCAUAUUUAUCGCAUGAUAGAAGUGGGAAAGGAGAAAUCCGCUGAUAGAUGAGCUUGCGGCUGAUCAGCUAGUUGGUGGGGUAAGAGCCUACCAAGGCGACGAUCAGUAGCCGGACUGAGAGGUUGAACGGCCACAUUGGGACUGAGAUACGGCCCAGACUCCUACGGGAGGCAGCAGUCGGGAAUAUUGCGCAAUGGAGGGAACUCUGACGCAGUGACGCCGCGUAUAGGAAGAAGGUUUUCGGAUUGUAAACUAUUGUCCACAGGGAAGAAUAAGGACAGUACCUGUGAAGAAAGCUCCGGCUAACUACGUGCCAGCAGCCGCGGUAAUACGUAGGGAGCGAGCGUUAUCCGGAAUUAUUGGGUGUAAAGGGUGCGUAGACGGGAGAACAAGUUAGUUGUGAAAACCCUCGGCUCAACUGAGGACGUGCAACUAAAACUAUUCAUCUUGAGUGCAGGAGAGGAAAGUGGAAUUCCUAGUGUAGCGGUGAAAUGCGUAGAUAUUAGGAAGAACACCGGUGGCGAAGGCGACUUUCUGGACUGUAACUGACGUUGAGGCACGAAAGUGUGGGGAGCAAACAGGAUUAGAUACCCUGGUAGUCCACACUGUAAACGAUGGAUAC